UGCCAGCCGCCGCGGUAAUACGGAGGGUGCAAGCGUUAUCCGGAUUCAUUGGGUUUAAAGGGUCCGUAGGCGGCCUUAUAAGUCAGUGGUGAAAGCCUACAGCUUAACUGUAGAAUUGCCAUUGAAACUGUAGGGCUUGAAUCUAUUUGAAGUGGGCGGAAUACAUCAUGUAGCGGUGAAAUGCAUAGAUAUGAUGUAGAACACCUAUUGCGAAGGCAGCUCACUAAGUUAGCAUUGACGCUGAGGGACGAAAGCGUGGGGAGCGAACAGGAUUAGAUA
rnacentral:rRNA from 1 species